rnacentral:rRNA from 1 species
UACAGAGGAGCCGAGCGUUGUCCGGAUUGACUGGGCGUAAAGCGCACGCAGGCGGAUGCGCGCGUGGGGUGUGAAAUCUGGCCGCUUAACGGCCAGGCGCCAUCCCAUACGGCGCGUCUGGAGUGAUGCAGAGGUCGAUGGAAUUGCCGGUGUAGUGGUGAAAUGCGUAGAGAUCGGCAGGAACACCCAGGGGGAAACCAGUCGACUGGGCAUCUACUGACGCUGAGGUGCGAGAGCGUGGGGAGCGAACCGG